GACGAACGCUGGCGGCGUGCUUAACACAUGCAAGUCGAACGGAAAGGCCCUGCUUUUGUGGGGUGCUCGAGUGGCGAACGGGUGAGUAACACGUGAGUAACCUGCCCUUGACUUUGGGAUAACUUCAGGAAACUGGGGCUAAUACCGGAUAGGAGCUCCUGCUGCAUGGUGGGGGUUGGAAAGUUUCGGCGGUUGGGGAUGGACUCGCGGCUUAUCAGCUUGUUGGUGGGGUAGUGGCUUACCAAGGCUUUGACGGGUAGCCGGCCUGAGAGGGUGACCGGCCACAUUGGGACUGAGGUACGGCCCAGACUCCUACGGGAGGCAGCAGUGGGGAAUAUUGCACAAUGGGCGGAAGCCUGAUGCAGCAACUCCGCGUGCGUGAUGACGGCCUUCGGGUUGUAAACCGCUUUCGCCUGUGACGAAGCGUGAGUGACGGUAAUGGGUAAAGAAGCACCGGCUAACUACGUG
rnacentral:rRNA from 1 species